GUGGAGCAUGUGGCUUAAUUUGACUCAACGCGGGGAAUCUUACUAGGUCCGGACCGAGUCUAUGAACGUCGUACCGUUGGGUGCUACGUGAUUACUGGAUGAGUGGUGCAUGGCCGUUCUUAGUUCGUGGUGUUAAUUGUCUACUUAAUUGUUUCGGCCAUGUAUCUCUCAGUACAGGCCUUACAACGAACGAGAUCGAGACCCGUGGUUACGUCAUAGGUUAUUUGUGUACGACGUUAACUACGGGGAUCGCGUAAUCACUCAACGGUACGAUCGAAAGACUCGGCAAUAACAGGUCUGUGAUGCCCUCAGAUGUUCUAGGCUGCACACGUGCUACAUUGUGAGUUGUAGUAUAUUGUGUAUGCGUAGAUAUGUCUAAGAUCCCCCGCAUCGAGUCUCAAUUACUCACGUGGUUGGACUCACCGAUUGUCAAUUAUUCGGUAUACUAA
rnacentral:rRNA from 1 species